UCUCUGAUGUCUCAAUACAUCCUGCUUACGCUUCACUGUGUGCUCAGUAGAAUAGAAGGGAAGAAACCUAUGGCUGAGAGA
rnacentral:snoRNA from 1 species